rnacentral:sRNA from 1 species
GCUGCUGCUGCUCCUCCUGCUGUGGGACCGCUGACCGCGCGGCUGCUCCGCUCUCCCCGCUCCAAGCGCCGAUCUGGGCACCCGCCACCAGCAUGGACGCUCGCCGCGUGCCGCAGAAAGAUCUCAGAGUAAAGAAGAACUUAAAGAAAUUCAGAUAUGUGAAGUUGAUUUCCAUGGAAACCUCGUCAUCCUCUGAUGACAGUUGUGACAGCUUUGCUUCUGAUAAUUUUGCAAACACGAGGCUGCAGUCAGUUCGGGAAGGCUGUAGGACCCGCAGCCAGUGCAGGCACUCUGGACCUCUCAGGGUGGCGAUGAAGUUUCCAGCGCGAAGUACCAGGGGAGCAACCAACAAAAAAGCAGAGUCCCCCCAGCCCUCAGAGAAUUCUGUGACUGAUUCCAACUCCGAUUCAGAAGAUGAAAGUGGAAUGAAUUUUUUGGAGAAAAGGGCUUUAAAUAUAAAGCAGAACAAAGCAAUGCUUGCAAAACUCAUGUCUGAAUUAGAAAGCUUCCCUGGCUCGUUCCGUGGAAGACAUCCCCUCCCAGGCUCCGACUCAGUAAGUACCAGUUCUUGUUUAUAUACAGUAGUGUUUUGGGCACACCUAAGGUCGAUCUGUGUUGUAUUUAAAAAUCUAAUUUCUUUAUUUGUGUGGCCUUCUAGACAAACGAAGGGGACCUAGAGGAAACCCCCUGACAGAUCUCUGGAUGAUCCUCCUUGAAUCCUGGGCAGUUUGGUCUCUCCUUGCUGUGCUCCUGUGGCACUAAACUCCUUUUGAUUGGUUCUUUCUUUCCUUCCCAGCUAGACUAAGCCCCUCAUGGGCAGGUAAUGAAGAUUGAAAACUUUUUUCUGUUCUCCAGUGUGAGCACAUUCCUCCUACAUGGUAGAUGUGCAAUAGAUGUUUUUAAAAUUGGAGAAUGAAAAUAAAAGAAGAAAAUCACAAUUUCUUAUCAAGUUGUAGCUUGGUAUCAUACACAAUUGCAUUCUGAGGAAUUAAGCUGGUACAAUUUAGGGAGAUUUGGUGUGUCUGCUGUGAUAGAAAAGAUUUCUUUUUCCUGGCUUUCCCUGAGGAAAGGAAAGAUGGAAAGAGGGAAGCCAUACAGAUAUCCCUCUAUUUUGCAGUGUAGAAACUGAAUGUGUUUCUACAGGGUCAAGAGACAUCAGAGAAAAUUUUUUUUUUUAGAACAGAAGAUCAUUUCUUACAUCUUCAUUAAGUAAAAGAAUAAAUAGCUCAUCUCUCAAGUUGAAAGAAACUGGGCUUGGUAUUACAAAAGCAAAAUUAAGAUGGCCAUAUAGGUUUUAGGCUCAUUUUGCCAUGCAUUAUGCAAAGGACAAAGAAAAAGAAAAAAUAGAGCUCUCUUUACUUAAAACAUCCUUAAGGAGAAGCUAUGAAUUCCCCAAAGUACUACUUCUUUUUAUUAUGGAAUAAAUGGAUUCCCUUAUGCGUGCUUUGUUUAGCAAUCAAGGAGACCGCGAAGGCGUACAUUCCCGGGUGUUGCUUCCAGGAGAAACCCUGAACGGAGAGCUCGUCCUCUUACCAGGUCAAGGUCCCGGAUCCUCGGGUCCCUUGAUGCUCUACCCAUGGAGGAGGAGGAGGAAGAGGAUAAGUACAUGUUGGUGAGAAAGAGGAAGACCAUGGAUGGCUACAUGAAUGAAGAUGACCUGCCCAGAAGCCGUCGCUCCAGAUCAUCCGUGACCCUUCCGCAUAUAAUUCGCCCAGUGGAAGAAAUUACAGAGGAAGAGUUGGAGAACGUCUGCAGCAAUUCUCGAGAGAAGAUAUAUAACCGUUCACUGGGCUCUACUUGUCAUCAGUGCCGUCAGAAGACUAUUGAUACCAAAACAAACUGCAGAAACCCAGACUGCUGGGGCGUUCGAGGCCAGUUCUGUGGCCCCUGCCUUCGAAACCGUUAUGGUGAAGAGGUCAGGGAUGCUCUGCUGGAUCCGAACUGGCAUUGCCCGCCUUGUCGAGGAAUCUGCAACUGCAGUUUCUGCCGGCAGCGAGAUGGACGGUGUGCGACUGGGGUCCUUGUGUAUUUAGCCAAAUAUCAUGGCUUUGGGAAUGUGCAUGCCUACUUGAAAAGCCUGAAACAGGAAUUUGAAAUGCAAGCAUAAUAUCUGGAAAAUUUGCUGCCUGCCUUCUACUUCUCAAAUCUUUCUUGUAAAAGUUUCCAAUUUUUUCACUGAAACCUGAGUUAAAAAUCCUGAUGAUCAUCCUGUUUCAUAAGAAACUCCAAUCAAGUUAAUCUUAGCAGACAUGUGUUUCUGGAGCAUCACAGAAGGUAUAUUGCUAGUUACACUUUGCCCUCCUGCAGUUUCUUCUCUGCUCCCAACCCCCAUCUCAUAGCAUCCCCCUCUAUUUCCAAUGCUCCUCUCCAACCGCUUAGUUUCUGAAUUUCUUUUAAAUUACAGUUUUAUGAAAGCAUAUUUUAUUUACUUGGUGUUGAAAUAGCCCUCAUAAAACCUAAGCACUUGGAAACACAAUAAUAGUAUUAACUAACUAGAUCUAUUGAAUUUCAGAGAAGAGCCUUCUAACUUGUUUACACAAAAACGAGUAUGAUUUAGCAUUCAUACUAGUUGAAAUUUUUAAUAGAAUCAAGGCACAAAAGUCUUAAAACCAUGUGGAAAAAUUAGGUAAUUAUUGCAGAUUGAUGUCUCUCAACCCCAUGUAUUGCGCUUAUGUUACAAGUUGUUGUCACAGUUGAGACUUAAUUUCUCCUAAUUUCUUCUGCCCGAAGGGUAAGUGGUGCGUCCAGCUUACACAAUCAUAAUUCAAAGGUUGGUGGGCAAUGUAAUACUUAAAAUAAUGAUGGAAGAGCUAUCUGGAGAUUAUGAGUAAGCUGAUUUGAAUUUUCAGUAUAAAACUUUAGUAUAAUUGUAGUUUGCAAAGUUUAUUUCAGUUCACACGUAAGGUAUUGCAAAUAAAUUCUUGGACAAUUUUGUAUGG